rnacentral:tRNA from 1 species
AGCGGGGUAGAGCAGUUUGGUAGCUCGCAAGGCUCAUAACCUUGAGGGUCACGGGUNCAAAUCCUGUCUCCGCAA